UGAACUCACUCCUUGGAGGCUGAGCUGGAGAAUAUACUGGACUAAUCAAUUUGUGGCAACAUAGCAAAUGGACACUGUACUUGGUUGGCUUUCUACUUAAUAUCCAGCCAGAGAAGUCUUACUCAACACAGGAACUUUGCCAUCUUCUAGGAACUGUAAUUGUGAAGAAGGCACGGGUGCAAUCUAUAUUGGGUGGGUCCUACUGUCAUAGGGUCAAGCUCUAUUACUACAUGUUUGAGAGACCUCAUAUGUAGGUGAUAUGCUCUAGCAAGGCAUCCCCAAAAUAUGCGAGUGAGAAUUAGUUCACUGUGAGGAUUUGGAGCUUUUCAGGGUGGUUUUUUUUUCCAAUUGGAUGAAGGUAUAUUUGCCUUCUGUAAUUUGCAAAAGUUUGAAGGGAUUUUUUUAAUUGCUGGGAAGGAGCACAUUCAGCUUGCUUGCAAUUUACGAUGACUAAUAUGUAAGGAUAGAACAAAGCAGAGUUCAGUGAAUCCAGAUUAGAUAUUGACAAGGUUGCACAUAAAGCCACUCAGGAACAGUGAGAAUACAACACGAGGAGUUGAGCGUAGUGGAAAUGGAACAUAUUGAGGUUUGCAUCAAGAUGAACUCUGCUGCAACAAUCUGUCCAAUUAAGAACAAGUUAGGAUAUGGGACAAUUGCAAGUAACUGGCCUGGGGAGAUUGUAGCAAGCUGGGCAACAUCAGAAGCAAGUGAAGGCAGCAAGGAUGCUGCAGAAGCUGAAGCUAGCAAAUAUGAUUAACCAAAGCCAUUAGUUUACAAUUACUAAUCUGAUGCUAAAGCUGCAAAUAUAGCCAAAGAUAUAUUGGUCUUGAGCCCUCUGUUUUGUAUGUGGUUCUUUUCUCAGAUUAACUUGCAAGGAAAUGAUACUGGUAGCAAAUUGGCAAAAUUUGCCAUUGGAGGGAUAGAAAACAUUACCGUGUCUUUGUAAAGUAGCACAGUGUGGAACUUGGAAGUGGGUAGUACCCAUUAUAUUGUGAA